rnacentral:rRNA from 1 species
UACGGAAUGUGCAAACGUUAUUCGGAAUCACUGGGCUUAAAGAGUCCGUAGGCGGCUUGUUAGGUGAGGUGUGAAAUCCCUCGGCCCAACCGAGGAAUUGCGCUUCAAACCGGCAAGCUAGAGGAGGAUAGAGGUGGGCGGAACUGAUGGUGGAGCGGUGAAAUGCGUUGAUAUCAUCAGGAACACCGGAGGCGAAGGCGGUCCACUGGGUCCUUUCUGACGCCGAGGGACGAAAGCUAGGGGAGCGAACGGG